rnacentral:lncRNA from 1 species
GUGGGGGGGACGCAGACCUAGUUACCCCAGGAUCUUCCGAGGCGGGGCAGGAGAAGGCCCACCCCCGAGGGCUGCUCCCCACCACCCCCCUUCGCCCAGCAUGUGAGUCAGAGGAAACCACCCACAGCUCAGCGGGGUUUAAUGAAAGGAAGAGAUUCAUUCUCCCUGGAGCGGAAUAGGCACUCGGUGAGAGGAUGCCCCGCGCGUGCUUUAGGGCGGACCAAAACAGCCCUCCUUUUUGAAUUUCAAUUUCCUACUAUCUUGAUGUUCAAGCCUAAGGCUUCCAGACUUGCUGGUCUAUCUAUGCAACGGCACGGAAGGCCCUUGUCAAAGCACACGUUCCAGUUUUUGGUUCACGGGUGUGCUCGACGGACCCUCGGAGCAAGGUGGGGUGGGGGGAUGGGAGGGUGGGGGGCUCUGGGUCCGGGCUCCCUGUGCGCCAUCUCUCGGGGCCCCUUCCCUGCAGUCCCGGGGGAGGGGGCGGCGAGGUCGCAUUGUCUCCACAGAAUAGACAGGAAAUCUCUGUCCCGGGAGGUAGACGUGUCUAACGUCACUUAG